GGCUCGUUAGCUCAGUUGGUAAGAGUUUCACACCGAUUUUGUGGAGGUCGUAGGUUCGAAUCCUACACGGGCCC